AGUGAACGCUGGCGGUAGGCCUAACACAUGCAAGUCGAACGGCAGCACAGUAAGAGCUUGCUCUUACGGGUGGCGAGUGGCGGACGGGUGAGGAAUACAUCGGAAUCUACUUUUUCGUGGGGGAUAACGUAGGGAAACUUACGCUAAUACCGCAUACGACCUACGGGUGAAAGCAGGGGAUCUUCGGACCUUGCGCGAUUGAAUGAGCCGAUGUCGGAUUAGCUAGUUGGCGGGGUAAAGGCCCACCAAGGCGACGAUCCGUAGCCGGUCUGAGAGGAUGAUCAGCCAAACUGGAACUGAGACACGGUCCAGACUCCUACGGGAGGCAGCAGUGGGGAAUAUUGGACAAUGGGCGCAAGCCUGAUCCAGCCAUACCGCGGGGGUGAAGAAGGCCUUCGGGUUGUAAAGCCCUUUUGUUGGGAAAGAAAAGCAGCAGGUUAAUACCCCGCUGUUCUGACGGUACCCAAAGAGUAAGCACCGGCUAACUUCGU
rnacentral:rRNA from 1 species